AUACCUUUCUCCGUCUUUCGGCUAAGGUCAUUAUUUGUUUCUUAUCAAUUUAUCAAUUUAAUAUCUGAUAUGUGAGCUAUGUCUAUGUACCUACUUUGAUAUUAAAUUUAUUUUUUAUGGGAAGGAUCCACUACAAUGGCUUGCCACUUAGACCCUCGAGUGUCGCUGGGGCGUUGACUAUACCCCGAGCCUGGCACACCCCAA